rnacentral:piRNA from 1 species
UAGAUACUAAGGUGCUUAAGGAGUUUGG